UAAGGAAUAUUGCUCAAUGGGAGAAAUCCUGAAGCAGCAACGCCGCGUGGAGGAUGAAGGGUCUAUGACUUGUAAACUCCUGUAAAGAAGGAAAAAAUUCCCAUUUGAUGGGAGAUGAUGGUACUUCUGGAGUAAGCCCCGGCUAACUACGUGCCAGCAGCCGCGGUAAUACGUAGGGGGCAAGCGUUGUCCGGAUUUACUGGGUGUAAAGGGUGCUCAGGCGGAUUUGUAAGUCAGAGGCGAAAUCUUACAGCUUAACUGUGAAACUGCCUUUGAUACUGCAAGCCUAGAGUAUGGAAGAGAGUGAUGGAAUAUCUGGUGUAGCAGUGAAAUGCGUAGAUAUCAGAUAGAACACCAAUGGCGAAGGCAGUCACUUGGUCCAUUACUGACGCUAAAGCACGAAAGCGUGGGUAGCAAACA
rnacentral:rRNA from 1 species